rnacentral:lncRNA from 1 species
UGCAUGUAUCUCACUGGCCAACACCAUGACAAGCAGCUGCCCCUACAUACUGGUGUGGAGCUGUGACAUGGUGUGGAUAAGAGAUUGCCUCUCCAAGGCCCUGCUAACAUGACCCCUGACCUGUGACUGGUCUUCAAUUCAGCGGUCAGUAGUCCUCAUUUACUUCCCUUUCAUAAUUUUUCA